AGCCAGACUCCUACGGGAGGCAGCAGUGGGGGAUAUUGCACAAUGGGGGGAACCCUGAUGCAGCGACGCCGCGUGGGUGAGGAAGUACCCCGGUAUGUAAAGCCCUUUCGGCAGGGAAGAAAAUGACGGUACCUGGCGAAGAAGCCCCGGCUAACUACGUGCCAGCAGCCGCGGUAAUACGUAGGGGGCAAGCGUUAUCCGGAUUCACUGGGUGUAAAGGGAGCGCAGGCGGUCCGGAAAGUCAGCGGUAAAAGCCCGGGGCUCACCCCCGGCGAGCCGUUGAAACUGUCGGACUAGAGACGGCGAGAAGUACGCGGAAUGCGCGGUGUAGCGGUGAAAUGCAUAGAUAUCGCGCAGAACUCCGAUUGCGAAGGCAGCGUACCGGCGCCGGACUGACGCUGAGGCACGAAAGCGUGGGUAUCGAACAGGAUUAGAUACCCGAGUA
rnacentral:rRNA from 1 species